GAUGAACGCUGGCGGCGUGCCUAAUACAUGCAAGUCGAGCGAACAGACGAGGAGCUUGCUCCUCUGACGUUAGCGGCGGACGGGUGAGUAACACGUGGAUAACCUACCUAUAAGACUGGGAUAACUUCGGGAAACCGGAGCUAAUACCGGAUAAUAUAUUGAACCGCAUGGUUCAAUAGUGAAAGACGGUUUUGCUGUCACUUAUAGAUGGAUCCGCGCCGCAUUAGCUAGUUGGUAAGGUAACGGCUUACCAAGGCAACGAUGCGUAGCCGACCUGAGAGGGUGAUCGGCCACACUGGAACUGAGACACGCUCCAGACUCCUACGGGAGGCAGCAGUAGGGAAUCUUCCGCAAUGGGCGAAAGCCUGACGGAGCGACGCCGCGUGAGUGAUGAAGGUCUUCGGAUCGUAAAACUCUGUUAUGAGGGAAGAACAAAUGUGUAAGUAACUAUGCACGUCUUGACGGUACCUAAUCAGAAAGCCACGGCUAGCUACGUG
rnacentral:rRNA from 1 species